GCCUGGGUGGCUCAGUCGGUUAAGCGUCUGACUUCAGCUCCGGACAUGAUCUCACAGUUUGUGGGUUCAGGCCCCACCUCGGGCU
rnacentral:tRNA from 1 species